rnacentral:rRNA from 1 species
AUUGAACGCUGGCGGCAGGCCUAACACAUGCAAGUCGAACGAGCGGCGGACGGGUGAGUAAUGUAUGGGAAACUGCCCGAUAGAGGGGGAUAACUACUGGAAACGGUGGCUAAUACCGCAUACUAUCGGAUGUACCCAUAUGGGAUUAGCUAGUAGGUGGGGUAACGGCGCACCAAGGCGACGAUCUCUAGCUGGUCUGAGAGGAUGAGCAGCCACACUGGGACGGAGACACGGUCCAGACUCCGACGGUAGGCAGCAGUGGGGAAUAUUGCACAAUGGGCGCAAGCCUGAUGCAGCCAUGCCGCGUGUAUGAAGAAGGCCUUAGGGUUGUAAAGUACUUUCAGCGGGGAGGCGUUACCCGCAGAAGAAGCACCGGCUAACUCCGUGCCAGCAGCCGCGGUAAGAC